AGUGGAAGCGUCUGGAAAGGCGUGCGAUACAGGGUGACAGCCCCGUACACAAAAAUGCACAUAUUGUGAGCUCGAUGAGUAGGGCGGGACACGUGGUAUCCUGUCUGAAUAUGGGGGGACCAUCCUCCAAGGCUAAAUACUCCUGACUGACCGAUAGUGAACCAGUACCGUGAGGGAAAGGCGAAAAGAACCCCGGCGAGGGGAGUGAAAAAGAACCUGAAACCGUGUACGUACAAGCAGUGGGAGCCUCUUAAUGGGGUGACUGCGUACCUUUUGUAUAAUGGGUCAGCGACUUAUAUUCUGUAGCAAGGUUAACCGAAUAGGGGAGCCGAAGGGAAACCGAGUCUUAACUGGGCGUUAAGUUGCAGGGUAUAGACCCGAAACCCGGUGAUCUAGCCAUGGGCAGGUUGAAGGUUGGGUAACACUAACUGGAGGACCGAACCGACUAAUGUUGAAAAAUUAGCGGAUGACUUGUGGCUGGGGGUGAAAGGCCAAUCAAACCGGGAGAUAGCUGGUUCUCCCCGAAAGCUAUUUAGGUAGCGCCUCGUGAAUUCAUCUC
rnacentral:rRNA from 1 species